AUGACAGCUGGACCAGAACUCAACCACAGCUCACCUCACACAACACUGGUCCAAAGUCAGUGGAGAACACUGACAGAGGACAUGACCGCAUCUGGACCAGAACUCAACCACAGCUCACCUCACACAACACUGGUCCAAAGUCAGUGGAGAACACUGACAGAGGACAUGACCGCAUCUGGACCAGAACUCAACCACAGCUCACCUCACACAACACUGGUCCAAAGUCAGUGGAGAACACUGACAGAGGACAUGACCGCAUCUGGACCAGAACUCAACCACAGCUCACCUCACACAACACUGGUCCAAAGUCAGUGGAGAACACUGACAGAGGACAUGACCGCAUCUGGACCAGAACUCAACCACAGCUCACCUCACACAACACUGGUCCAAAGUCAGUGGAGAACACUGACAGAGGACAUGACCGCAUCUGGACCAGAACUCAACCACAGCUCACCUCACACAACACUGGUCCAAAGUCAGUGGAGAACACUGACAGAGGACAUGACCGCAUCUGGACCAGAACUCAACCACAGCUCACCUCACACAACACUGGUCCAAAGUCAGUGGAGAACACUGACAGAGGACAUGACCGCAUCUGGACCAGAACUCAACCACAGCUCACCUCACACACCACUGGUCCAAAGUCAGUGGAGAACACUGACAGAGGACAUGACCGCAUCUGGACCAGAACUCAACCACAGCUCACCUCACACAACACUGGUCCAAAGUCAGUGGAGAACACUGACAGAGGACAUGACCGCAUCUGGACCAGAACUCAACCACAGCUCACCUCACACAACACUGGUCCAAAGUCAGUGGAGAACACUGACAGAGGACAUGACCGCAUCUGGACCAGAACUCAACCACAGCUCACCUCACACACCACUGGUCCAAAGUCAGUGGAGAACACUGACAGAGGACAUGACCGCAUCUGGACCAGAACUCAACCACAGCUCACCUCACACAACACUGGUCCAAAGUCAGUGGAGAACACUGACAGAGGACAUGACCGCAUCUGGACCAGAACUCAACCACAGCUCACCUCACACAACACUGGUCCAAAGUCAGUGGAGAACACUGACAGAGGACAUGACCGCAUCUGGACCAGAACUCAACCACAGCUCACCUCACACAACACUGGUCCAAAGUCAGUGGAGAACACUGACAGAGGACAUGACCGCAUCUGGACCAGAACUCAACCACAGCUCACCUCACACAACACUGGUCCAAAGUCAGUGGAGAACACUGACAGAGGACAUGACCGCAUCUGGACCAGAACUCAACCACAGCUCACCUCACACAACACUGGUCCAAAGUCAGUGGAGAACACUGACAGAGGACAUGACCGCAUCUGGACCAGAACUCAACCACAGCUCACCUCACACACCACUGGUCCAAAGUCAGUGGAGAACACUGACAGAGGACAUGACCGCAUCUGGACCAGAACUCAACCACAGCUCACCUCACACAACACUGGUCCAAAGUCAGUGGAGAACACUGACAGAGGACAUGACCGCAUCUGGACCAGAACUCAACCACAGCUCACCUCACACACCACUGGUCCAAAGUCAGUGGAGAACACUGACAGAGGACAUGACCGCAUCUGGACCAGAACUCAACCACAGCUCACCUCACACAACACUGGUCCAAAGUCAGUGGAGAACAGACAGAGGACAUGACCGCAUCUGGACCAGAACUCAACCACAGCUCACACACAGCUGGUCCCAUGUCACUUGA
rnacentral:lncRNA from 1 species